rnacentral:rRNA from 1 species
CUUUCAACAACGGAUCUCUUGGUUCCAGCAUCGAUGAAGAACGCAGCGAAAUGCGAUAAAUAAUGUGAAUUGCAGAAUUCAGUGAAUCAUCGAGUCUUUGAACGCACAUUGCGCCUCUCGGUAUUCCGGGGGGCAUGCCUGUUCGAGCGUCAUUACACCCCUCAAGCGUAGCUUGGUAUU